AGAGUUUGAUCAUGGCUCAGGAUGAACGCUGGCGGCGUGCCUAAUACAUGCAAGUCGAGCGGAAACACUUCGGGUGUCGAGCGGCGGACGGCUGAGUAACACGUAGGAACGUACCCCAAAGUGAGGGAUAAGCACCAGAAAUGGUGUCUAAUACCGCAUGUGCUCUUCGGAGGAAAGCUUCGGCGCUUUGGGAACGGCCUGCGCAUGAUUAGCUUGUUGGUGAGGUAAAAGCUCACCAAGGCGACGAUCAUUAGCUGGUCUGAGAGGAUGAUCAGCCAGACUGGGACUGAGAACGGCCCAGACUCCUACGGGAGGCAGCAGUAGGGAAUUUUCCACAAUGGGGGCAACCCUGAUGGAGCAACGCCGCGUGCAGGAUGAAUGCCUUCGGGUUGUAAACUGCUUUUCUGAUUGACGAAUAUGACGGUAAAUCAGGAAUAAGGACCUGCUAACUACGUGCCAGCAGCCGCGGUCAUACGUAGGGUCCAAGCGUUAUCCGGAAUUACUGGGCGUAAAGAGUUGCGUAGGUGGCAUAGUAAGUUGGUAGUGAAAGCCUGGGGCUCAACCCCUUACACAUUACCGAAACUGCUAAGCUAGAGAACGAGAGAGGUCGCUGGAAUUCCUAGUGUAGGAGUGAAAUCCGUAGAUAUUAGGAGGAACACCGAUGGCGUAGGCAGGCGACUGGCUCGUUUCUGACACUAAGGCACGAAAGCGUGGGGAGCAAACGGGAUUAGAUACCCUAGUAGUCC
rnacentral:rRNA from 1 species